rnacentral:rRNA from 2 species
GGGGAGCUGGCCGCGUGCCUAUACAUGCAAGUCGAGCGAAUGGAUUAAGAGCUUGCUCUUAUGAAGUUAGCGGCGGACGGGUGAGUAACACGUGGGUAACCUGCCCAUAAGACUGGGAUAACUCCGGGAAACCGGGGCUAAUACCGGAUAAUAUUUUGAACUGCAUGGUUCGAAAUUGAAAGGCGGCUUCGGCUGUCACUUAUGGAUGGACCCGCGUCGCAUUAGCUAGUUGGUGAGGUAACGGCUCACCAAGGCAACGAUGCGUAGCCGACCUGAGAGGGUGAUCGGCCACACUGGGACUGAGACACGGCCCAGACUCCUACGGGAGGCAGCAGUAGGGAAUCUUCCGCAAUGGACGAAAGUCUGACGGAGCAACGCCGCGUGAGUGAUGAAGGCUUUCGGGUCGUAAAACUCUGUUGUUAGGGAAGAACAAGUGCUAGUUGAAUAAGCUGGCACCUUGACGGAACCUAACCAGAAAGCCACGGCUAACUACGUGCCAGCAGCCGAGGCAAUACAUCUGUAGCCAGCGUUACCCUGACUAAUUGACCGUAAACCCCCCCACCUGCCUUUUACGUAUGAAACAAACCCCACCCCCCC